UUUAGUAUACCUGACGUCUAGGAUGAACGCUAGCGAUAGCUUAACACAUGCAAGUCGAGGGGCAGCAAUUUGUAGCAAUACGAAGUUGGCGACCGGCGCACGGGUGAGUAACGCGUAUGCAACCUACCCGACAACAGAAGGAUAAUACCGGCGAAAGUCGGUCUAAUACUUCAUAAUACAGGGACACGCAUGGUGAUAUUUGUUAAAGAUUAAUUGGUUGCGGAUGGGCAUGCGUGCCAUUAGGUAGUUGGUGAGGUAACGGCUCACCAAGCCGACGAUGGUUAGGGGUUCUGAGAGGAAAAUCCCCCACACUGGUACUGAGACACGGACCAGACUCCUACGGGAGGCAGCAGUGAGGAAUAUUGGUCAAUGGGCGAGAGCCUGAACCAGCCAAGUCGCGUGAAGGAAGACGGCCCUAUGGGUUGUAAACUUCUUUUGCAGGGGAAUAAAGAUAUCCACGUGUGGAUAGUUGUAUGUACCCUGCGAAUAAGCAUCGGCUAACUCCGUG
rnacentral:rRNA from 1 species